UGCAAGUCGAACGCUUUGUGGUUCAACUGAUUUGAAGAGCUUGCUCAGAUAUGACGAUGGACAUUGCAAAGAGUGGCGAACGGGUGAGUAACACGUGGGAAACCUACCUCUUAGCAGGGGAUAACAUUUGGAAACAGAUGCUAAUACCGUAUAACAAUAGCAACCGCAUGGUUGCUACUUAAAAGAUGGUUCUGCUAUCACUAAGAGAUGGUCCCGCGGUGCAUUAGUUAGUUGGUGAGGUAAUGGCUCACCAAGACGAUGAUGCAUAGCCGAGUUGAGAGACUGAUCGGCCACAAUGGGACUGAGACACGGCCCAUACUCCUACGGGAGGCAGCAGUAGGGAAUCUUCCACAAUGGGCGAAAGCCUGAUGGAGCAACGCCGCGUGUGUGAUGAAGGGUUUCGGCUCGUAAAACACUGUUGUAAGAGAAGAAUGACAUUGAGAGUAACUGUUCAAUGUGUGACGGUAUCUUACCAGAAAGGAACGGCUAAAUACGUGCCAGCAGCCGCGGUAAUACGUAUGUUCCAAGCGUUAUCCGGAUUUAUUGGGCGUAAAGCGAGCGCAGACGGUUAUUUAAGUCUGAAGUGAAAGCCCUCAGCUCAACUGAGGAAUUGCUUUGGAAACUGGAUGACUUGAGUGCAGUAGAGGAAAGUGGAACUCCAUGUGUAGCGGUGAAAUGCGUAGAUAUAUGGAAGAACACCAGUGGCGAAGGCGGCUUUCUGGACUGUAACUGACGUUGAGGCUCGAAAGUGUGGGUAGCAAACAGGAUUAGAUACCCUGGUAGUCCACACCGUAAACGAUGAGUGCUAGGUGUUUGAGGGUUUCCGCCCUUAAGUGCCGCAGCUAACGCAUUAAGCACUCCGCCUGGGG
rnacentral:rRNA from 1 species